rnacentral:lncRNA from 1 species
GCCCCCGACCUUUAAGAAGGCUCUCGACACAGGUCAAGAAAACAGCAAUGCCUCUGAGGUAACGUGGAGUUCAGACCACCAAGCUCGAGCCUACGGCCAUGAACGACGAGGAAAGUGAACCAGCGUAUCAACGAUCGGGCACCUCCAAACGACGUCAACGUCGGACAAGUCGAACGACAAGAGAAGUUUGGCAAACGAUAAUUUAAUGCAAUAUGCAGACGAGGUAACACAAAAUUUUCUUUUCAUUCUAUUUGCGAAAUAUACAUCACAAAGCCCAGAAGGCCAAAGGA